rnacentral:rRNA from 1 species
GACGAACGCUGGCGGCGUGCUUAACACAUGCAAGUCGAACGGAAAGGCCCUGCUUUUGUGGGGUGCUCGAUUGGCGAACGGGUGAGUAACACGUGAGUAACCUGCCCUUGUCUUUGUGAUAACUUCUGGAAACUGGGGCUAAUACCGGAUAUGAUCUCCUGCUGCAUGUUGGUGGUUGGAAAGUUUCGGCGGUUGGAGAUGGUCUCGCGGCUUAUCAGCUUGUUGGGGGGGUAGUUGCUUACCAAGGGUUUGACGGGUAGCCGGCCUGAGAGGGUAAACGGGCACAAGAGGACUGAGAUAGGGAGCAGAAUGCAACGGGAGGCAACAGUGGGGAAUAUUGCACAAUGGGGGGAAGCCUGAUGCAGAAAAGCAGGGAGCGGGAUGACGGGCUUGGGGUUGUAAACAGAUUUGGAAUGUGACGAAGAGUGAGUGACGGUAAUGGGUAAAGAAGCAACGGCUAACUACGUG